rnacentral:misc_RNA from 1 species
UUGAAUGUACCUUGGAGUCUACUGUUGCUGGCUUUCACAAGUACGUGCACGUAGCUCUGAAUACUAUUCAUCCACCUGUGCACUUUUUGUAGGAGUUUCUUUUGAAUUAGCUUAUGAGGUCUAUGACUUUGUAGUUGAUUUUGAAAGACUUCUAUGUUUUUACAAACCAAGUUAAGCAUGUUUUAGAAUGUUGUUUUAUUGGGACUUCAUUGACCCUUUAAACUUUUAUA